rnacentral:rRNA from 1 species
UACAGAGGUCCCAAGCGUUGUUCGGAUUCACUGGGCGUAAAGGGUGCGUAGGUGGCUUGGUAAGUUCGAUGUGAAAUCUCCGGGCUUAACCCGGAAAUGGCAUUGAAUACUAUUGAGCUGGAGGUUUGGAGGGGGGACUGGAAUUCUCGGUGUAGCAGUGAAAUGCGUAGAGAUCGGAAAGAACACCAACGGCGAAAGCACUCUGCUGGGCCGACACUGACACUGAGAGACGAAAGCUAGGGGAGCGAAUGGG